AUGCGUGUAUUAUGCGCUGCAGGUGGUGGGGAUCUAGGGAAUUCUAAGCGCUGUUCAUGCGCGCAUUGAGUGAAACGGAACGUUUUCUAUGUAAUUCGUGCGCAUAAUGUGCGAAACGGAACGCAACCUAUGUCACAGUCCCAAUGCAGUUAAAAAGAACGAACUAGAGAUAUAUGCUUAUAAAUAUAACGUUUUACGAAUAGCAGCUCUCUUAUGCUCCUUCGAAAAACGCGAUCCAGAUAAAUUUUCUUUAUUAUAUUGCUCGGCUUAUAGGCUUUAUUCAGUUAAAAGUCAGUUUUGUCAAAUACGCAACAAAUAUAAAUAAUCUGAACACAUAUGCAAUAUGUCCAGUAUUCAAUCAGAAGUUAACAUUGAGAGAAAAGACAUUCAAAGGAUAUUGAUUGCUCUCAAUAAUAUUACUUUAGAUAUGAAAAGGCAGGCAGAAGAUAUUGAAGAAUUUGUGAAGGAAAAUGGACACUUAAUUACAAUGGUUAACAUGGCAAAUAAAACAUUAUCUAAGCAAGUUACAGAAAUGGGAAUGGUUACGCAAAAGAUUAUUGACGCAAGCAAAAUUGUAGAAAGGCAGGAACCCUGGUUGAAAUCAAAUGUGGAAUUAAUUGCAUCUUUGACAGCCAGAACUUGCACAAUUACAGAACAAUUAGCAGGCAAUAUAAAUACAGUCGAUUCUGAUUAAUCGAGGCAACCAAUUUGGAACAAAUUUUGAAAAACAAAUCUUAAUAGAUAAAUUAUAAAGUUCAGAUAAUUAGGGCAGGCGCUUAAUUGGGCCAAAAUGUUAUGAUGUCAAUGUUUCUGAAUCAACUGUACUUGAACCAUAUAAAUGUUGGGUUAACUAUUUUUUUUGUGUAUUAUAAAUUUUAUAUUUUUACAUAUUUAUAUACACAUAUAUACAAAUAAACUCUU